CCUUGUGUUCCAUCACAGGUAGCCUCAUGUAUACGUUCAUUUCUGCUAACGGGAUCGUGUGAAGCUGUCCUGGCAAUAUUCUGCGAAGAAUACCUGUUGCGCACCAACCUCAGGUGCGGGGGAGU
rfam:Lunatimonas lonarensis strain AK24 S14_contig_14, whole genome shotgun sequence.